UACGAAGGGGGCUAGCGUUGUUCGGAAUUACUGGGCGUAAAGCGCGCGUAGGCGGACAUUUAAGUCAGGGGUGAAAUGCCGGGGCUCAACCUCGGAACUGCCUUUGAUACUGGAUGUCUGGAGUUCGGGAGAGGUGAGUGGAAUUCCGAGUGUAGAGGUGAAAUUCGUAGAUAUUCGGGGGAACACCAGAAGCGAAGGCGGCUCACUGGCCCGAUACUGACGCUGAGGCGCGAAAGCGUGGGGAGCAAACAGG
rnacentral:rRNA from 1 species